rnacentral:misc_RNA from 1 species
CAACCCUCAAGCAUUGCUUGGUGUUGGGGCACUGCCUGUAAAAGGGCAGGCCCUGAAAUCUAGUGGCGAGCUCGCCAGGACCCCGAGCGUAGUAGUUAAACCCUCGCUUUGGAAGGCCCUGGCGGUGCCCUGCCGUUAAACCCCCAACUUUUGAAA